GGCGAUGAUCCAUAGCUGUUCUGAGAGGAAGAUCAGCCACACUGGAACUGAGACACGGUCCAGACUCCUACGGGAGGCAGCAGUGGGGAAUAUUGGACAAUGGGGGCAACCCUGAUCCAGCAAUGCCGCGUGUGUGAAGAAGGCCUGCGGGUUGUAAAGCACUUUCACGGGGGAAGAAGAAUUCAAGUCUAAUAGGCUUGAGUUUUGACGGUACCCCGAGAAGAAGCACCGGCUAACUCUGUGCCAGCAGCCGCGGUAAUACAGAGGGUGCAAGCGUUAAUCGGAAUUACUGGGCGUAAAGGGCAUGUAGGUGGAUAAAUAAGUUAGGUGUGAAAACCCUGGGCUCAACCUAGGACUGGCAUUUAAAACUGUUAAUCUAGAGUAUGGUAGAGGAAGGUGGAAUUUCAGGUGUAGCGGUGAAAUGCGUAGAUAUCUGAAGGAACACCAGUGGCGAAGGCGGCCUUCUGGACCAAUACUGACACUGAGGUGCGAAAGCGUGGGUAGCGAACAGGAUUAGAUACCCU
rnacentral:rRNA from 1 species